rnacentral:rRNA from 1 species
UGCGUAGGCGGCGUUAUAAGUCAGAUGUGAAAGCCCACCGCUUAACGGUGGAACUGCAUUUGAUACUGUAGUGCUUGAAUCAGGCUGAGGUCAGCGGAAUGUGUCAUGUAGCGGUGAAAUGCAUAGAUAUGACAUAGAACACCAAUUGCGAAGGCAGCUGGCUAGACCUGUAUUGACGCUGAGGCACGAAAGCGUGGGGAGCGAACAGGAUUAGAUACCCUGGUAGUCC